GAUGAACGCUGGCGGCGUGCCUAACACAUGCAAGUCGAGCGGCAGCGCGGGGUGCUUGCACCCUGUCGGCGAGCGGCGGACGGCUGAGUAACGCGUGGGAACGUGCCCCAAAGUGAGGAAUAACUGCCCGAAAGGGUAGCUAAUACCGCAUAUUAUCUUCGGAUCAAAGGAUUUAUCCGCUUUGGGAGCGGCUCGCGUCGGAUUAGGUAGUUGGUGAGGUAAUGGCUCACCAAGCCGACGAUCCGUAGCUGGUCUGAGAGGAUGACCAGCCAGACUGGAACUGAGACACGGUCCAGACUCCUACGGGAGGCAGCAGUGAGGAAUCUUCCACAAUGGGCGAAAGCCUGAUGGAGCAACGCCGCGUGCAGGACGAAGGCCUUCGGGUUGCAAACUGCUUUUAUAAGUGAGGAAUAUGACGGUAACUUAUGAAUAAGGAUCGGCUAACUACGUG
rnacentral:rRNA from 1 species